GAAUGUGAAUGGUGAACUUCCUCAGGCAUAAAAAGGUAUAAUGACUAUAACCCAGACGUUUCGCCGAUUAAGGCUUCUUCAGUGGGUGAAAAAUUCACAACAAUAUUAAGGAGUCUUCGAUACAUGUCGACAACAAUAUUAAGGCGUCUUUUAUACAUUAGGACGACAUGUAUAAAAGACGCCUUAAUAUUGUUGUAAAUUUUUCACCCACUGAAGAAGCCUUAACCUGCGAAACGUCUGGGUUAUAGUCAUUAUACCUUUUUAUGCCUGAGGAAGUUCUUGUUUUAACUC